GGUGCGUAGGCGGCCCGGUCAGUCAGCGGUGAAAUGCCCGCGCCUCACGCSGGRAGCUGCCGUUGAUACUGCUGGGCUAGAAUCUUAGCGAGGCGGGCGGAAUGCGCAGUGUAGCGGUGAAAAUGCAUAGAUAUUGCGCAGAACGCCGAUUGGGGAGCCAGCUCGCCCAGCUGAGUAUUGACGCUGAGGCACGAAAGCGUGGGGAUCAAACAGGAUUAGAUACCCUGGUAGUCCACGCCGUAAACGAUGAUAACUCGCUCUUGGUUCGCAAGGAUCUGGGGCUUAGCGAAAGCGUUAAGUUAUCCACCUGGGGAGUACGCCGGCAACGGUGAAACUCAAAGGAAUUGACGGGGGCCCGCACAAGCGGAGGAACAUGUGGUUUAAUUCGAUGAUACGCGAGGAACCUUACCCAGGCUCGAACGCCGAACGAAUACGGGGGAAACUCUGUAGCCAGCAAUGGCGGUCGGCGAGGUGCUGCAUGGUUGUCGUCAGCUCGUGCCGUGAGGUGUCGGCUUAAGUGCCAUAACGAGCGCAACCCCUAUCGAUAGUUGCCAGCGGGUUAUGCCGGGAACUCUAUCGAGACUGCCAGCGCAAGCUGCGAGGAAGGCGGGGAUGACGUCAAAUCAGCACGGCCCUUACGUCUGGGGCGACACACGUGUUACAAUGGCCGGUACAGAGGGCAGCCACCCCGCGAGGGGGCGCGAAUCUCCAAAGCCGGUCGUAGUUCGGAUCGGAGGCUGAAACCCSCCUCCGUGAAGCUGGAUUCGCUAGUAAUCGCAUAUCAGCCAUGAUGCGGUGAAUACGUUCCCGGGCCUUGUACACACCGCCCGUCAAACCAUGGGAGCUGGGGGGACCUGAAGUGCGCGAMCGCAAGGAGCGCCCUAGGGUAAAACCGGUGACUGGGGUUAKKUYGUAACAAGGUAGC
rnacentral:rRNA from 1 species